UCUUUGAUCGUGCUCUUUAAACGCCAGAAGGGCCGCGGCCCCCCGAAAAAACAACAUAAAAAAAAGAAGUGUUGCGAAUUUGAGAGGCAACGAUCUUCAAGAAGGCCGGUGCGUAGGAUCGUGGGAUGCUCUGUUUAUAUCCAUUCGAGGUUCCUCGAUAAACCGGCAUCCGUUCGUGGCUACAACCGCAUGCAAACAGCAGAAGGAGAAGGGGGCGGACGGUUCGAAACUGGGGAGACAAGAAGGAGUAAAGAAAAAGAAAGAAAAAGGGGCAAAGCACAUUCAAGGAACAAAACCCUCCAACACCUUUUUGGCAGGCUCCUCGCGGUCGGGAAGCGUCUGCGCGCCUGAGCGUCAUCCCCCGCUAAAAACGGACAGACGCACCCGAAGCCACAGUCGAAAAAUUUUCGGCGCUCGAAGAGGCGGCUCUCUUGAGAGGGCACCGCCAGCGACAUAUACGCAUCCGAACAAAAGAAGAAAACAGAAACGCUUCGAAACCCGAGAAGUGCGAAUCGAACCGGCCUGCAAAGCAGAAUCGUUGUCGACAGAGAGUUUGGUGCUGAACGAGUCCGAGAGCUGAAGUCGCGAGUUGCGUUUUGCGGCGAAGAGUUACGGCGGCUGAAGACAUGGCGUUCCAGAGACCCUUCUUGAUCAUCCUGAAGCGGGACGAUUCUAGCCAGCCAUGGGGAUUCCGUGUGAGUGGUGGGGCCGACCUCGGCACACCUCCAACUGUCGACAAGGUGGUGGACGGCGGACUGGCGUCCCUUCAGGGCAUGCACAACGGCGACCUGAUCAUCCAGGUGGGGAAACACAACGUCCAGGACCUCACGGAGUCCCGCAUCAACGGCCUGUUGGCUCAUCCUUCCAAACGGCUCGAGAUCUUUGUCGUCCGAGAAGAUUUUCUCCAGAAGCCGAGAAGGGGAGAGCCCCCCACAGUAAAAGCGGUCGUACAUAACCAGUACAACUCGCCACUGCACCUCUACUCGCAGGAGAAAGUUGCCGAGACCUUGGCAUACCACGCCCAGGCUCUCGCAACAGAGGACGGGCUGAAUAACAUUCAACCCGCGGGGCUGCCUCAGAAUCUCGUUCGCUCGGCUGUCUUGCAGGCUCUGAACGAAGAAGAAAGCGGCCCAAAUCCGUACCGAACCGCAAACGGGACGACAGUGGUGCAGAGGAAAACUGCACCUCCGACUCCUCCCCCUAAACCGCGACCGCCUUCAUACGGCGGCGGGUCACCGCAGCAAGAGCGAGCGUACUCUUCAACAACCCACGUGACCUUCUCGAACCCGGGCACUCCCGGCACUCCCCCGAUCCAGCAGCCCCACUUCUACCCUCAGGCCCAGCAGCCUCAACAGCCGUCUCCCUACCACCCGCCACCAGCGUUCCAGUCGCAGCACUCGCGUCAGAGCAGCUACGAGGAGGAGCGCCGCAGGCAGCAGGUCCAGGAAGCCGAGCUGAGGCAAAGACUCUACGAAGAAGAACGUCUCAAGCAGGCCGAGUACGAAGAGGAGCGCUUCAGGCAGUUGCAAGAGCAGAGGGCCCAGAAGCUGCACCAGAUCCAGCAGCCGCAGGACAUCCGGCGCUACGAAGACGAGGCUGAGCAGAGAAGGGUUCAGGAGGAGAUCGAGAGGAGACGUCGCCUUCUGCAGGAGGAGGAGAACCGACGCAAGCAGGAGCAGCUGAGGCUUCGACAAGAACAGGAGCAGCAGAGGCAGCGGUACCAGCAGGAAGAGGAGCAGAGGAAGAUACUCGAGCAGCAGCGGCAGAAGUACCUGCUCGAAGAGCAAGAGAGGAAGCGGCAGCUGGAGCAGCAGAAGCAGCAGCAGCAGCAACAGCAAUACCAGCAGCAAUACCAGCAGCAACAGCAGCACCAGUAUCAGCAGCAACAGCAGCAGCAACAGUACCAGCGGUACCUUGAGGAGCAGAGGAGGGCAGAAGAGCAAAGGAAGCUUGCUGAUCAGCGAAGGCAGCAGGAAGCUAUCCGACAGAGGCAAUUCGAAGAGCAGCAGCGGGCUCAGCAGCACGCACAGCGUCAGCCUGUGAGUAGGCAGUGGUCGGCGUCGGAGUCUCAACAGCGCCAGUACCAGCCGAUUCCUGUGCCGAGCUCGCCUCUGCACCAGGAGCAAGUGGGUUCACAAACGCAGCGUUGGGAAGGCAAGAUUAGGGAAGAACAGCAGUCCAGGAUGCCAGGAACGCCAUUAGGGUCGCCUUCGGUUGCACGGAGGAACAGAGAUACCUGCUGGCCUCCCAAGGAGUCCAGCGUGCGGUGGACGCCAAAGACGGGAUUCUCCCCACAUCUGUCACGCCAAAGUUCACACGAUGCAAAGCAGUUCGUCUGGCCGCCCCCGAAAUCGAACGUGUCCAACGGCAGCGAAGGCUUCCCGUCCCGGCCAUCAAGCCGCAACGCCAUGAACGCCUGGCACCCGCCUUCUCCCACGUCGGGCACCAGGACGCCGCCCUUCGCGAAUUCUCCGACGCUCGGCCGACGCACCAGGGACAUCGCCUGGCCGCCGACGCAGCCCGACUCCCCCUCCAAGUUUGUCCCCAAGCCGGUCAGCCGGGGUUUCCACGAGCCGCAGGAGUUCCUUCACCACCAUGCCAGCUCUGGAGUUCCCGCUACCUACAGACCUCCCCCUAACUCCUCGCAAUUCCUGUAGAACGCCAUAGAGUCGACUCUCUUUUAACCGCUGUCCGUCCCGCUGUGGCUUGUCAGUGUCUCGGUUAUGCAUGGUCAACAUCGUCUUUGUUAAUGCAAAAUUGUGUCAUUACGAAAGCUAGCUCGAAAUUGACCAGCGUCCGUCCCGUGUUUCGCGUAGCAAAGUCGAAGGUACUACCGCUGGACAGCUGCCGAACCUUUCGGAUAAAAAAAAACAACAAAAAAAACAACAAAGAAAACAAGAGAGAAAGGAGAGAAGACAAGGUGGCGAUGCGUCGCUUUGAAAAGACUUCGUCAGCUACAAAAAGCUUUCAGAAACAAACAAAGAAGCGGUAGGAAAGGUGGUCGAGCCGAUGCUUUGAAAAGCCACGGUGGUGGUUGCCAGUAAGGUCGAGGCUGGGCAUCCGCGUUCUCUCCGUUUAUCAUUGAACGCAAUUUUGCAUAUCACGGCUUAACCGAUAGACCGAAGUGUAGCUGAAAAUAUUUCAAGAUAAAUCAACGCGAUCUAGACUCGUUUAUUGGCAUUAACGCUGUCAUAGGUGGUAGGCAUACUAUUAAGUCUGGCCUCUUGGUUUGACUUUAGAACGUCUCUUGGAGACUGUUGUAUUAGACAAGGAAAAGGUUGAAAGAACAAACCCACACACUGACAGGCCACAGUAGCGUUAAUUUCUGGUUCAGUCAGUCCAAGCCAAAAACGCUGCGCAGAGUUCGACAUUCCUAAAGCAUAUUUUUUUUCUGCUUGUCAACAUUUUUGUUUAAUUCUUUCCCAGACGCUUCGAUCCGGGCAAAACUGAGAGGGGAAGAGAAGUGUCCAGUUUUUAUAAAAUGUUUUUUUUUUAUCAAGACAUCAAAAACAACCGCGGGACAUACGAAAAUUAAUCUCCCUCGCUAAAGCUGCCGCUGAUUGGUUAAUGAGGCAUUAAGUGGCAAAACAAAUAGGUCUAGAAUGAUUCAUUAGUGGAGCAUAAAACAGAUAAAAGAGGAAGAAAGAUUGUAGGACGAUAAUUCAGGAAUGAGGUUAGUUGAGUUCUUGCGUUAAGAAAAGCGAUAAAAAGUGCAUUGGGAAUGUCGAACUGAUUCAGUGUAUAUAACGGCGUUGUACACACGAAUAUACGGUUUAGUGUAAACGAUUAGGAAUAUUUCUCAAUAUAAUUUAUGAAGUAUCAUUAAAUAUUUGAAAUUUUAAAAGACGUGACACAGGUUAACAUUGGCGUAAACGUUUUGACAAAACAAAAAUAGUUGUUUUCAUAUUUCAAUUGCGACAGGUUUUGUGUUGUGUUUAUGUCUAUUCGCCAGUGUGCGCAAUUUCUUAACCAGUUCUAACUUUUAACUAAAUAGGAUUUCUUUUCAAUUGCCCUUUAAAUGCGACAUAUUUUUCGUGUGCUUUCUAUUUUUUAUUUUGCAAUGUUUUUAUUGCUUCUUAUACAUACGUAUUUUAUGGCGUCUUGUGUAGAUGUUAUCUCAUGCAAACUUCUUAUUUAUUGCUUUGAAGAAAAAAAAAAAAGCCGUAUCGCAUCCCUGUAACUCGAGGUGAUACUAACCAAAACUAAUCCGACAGGCCGCGAUUACGCACGGAAAACUGUAAACACUGUGAUACAAUGUAGAGCUGCGCCUCUCGAUGGUUGUUUUCGGCAUAUUCUGGGCAUAGCAAUUGGCCACGCCAGACAAAGGCGGAGGCGUCAUUUGUUGAGGACGUUCAGUGUACAUAGGAGAAUGUGUUCUUUCCUUCCUGCACGCAUCCUUUCCCGGUUUAUUGAAGCUAACAUUGGUCCAAGACCCGUGGCCGGCACGACACGUCUCUAGGCGGUGUGCUGUCUUUGAUGAAGUCGGGACGCCGAUUUACCCCGUGUCGUUGUCGUGUGUUGCUUGAGCCAGUGUGUCGCAGGUCCGCAAUAACGCCGAUAGGCUUCUUCUCUCUAGCCAAGAGGAAGAGUAUUUAUAUAUUAUAACUUGUUCUAAAACUGCGAUUUCUUUUUUUUUUUUUAAAUUUGCGUGGAUUUUGUUUUGCGUUGUGUACGCUACGACAAGAUUAAUAAAGAAUGCAACAUUGUUUUAUUGUU
rnacentral:misc_RNA from 1 species